rnacentral:rRNA from 1 species
CAGGCCGGCAGAGCGCGCUCUGCGCAUAUGUACCAUCCCGGGUGCGUGCUUUGUUGAGUGGCGACCGGUGUGUUUGGAAUAGGGGUGGAGCACUCAUAGAUUAGGUCAAGUAGGGGCGGUGGCAAGGGAGAGACUCAGGUUUUAUGGUCGCGGUCGCUGACGUGAAAACUCCUGCGGUCUCGACUACGUUCGCCCUCGACGCAGGUACCUACACUUUGACGUAGGAGAAGAGGGGGCUGCCGACCUCGCCGCUCGCCGUUGGUACCUACCGUCCUCGACGUUGGGCGAAAGCACCCUCGAUGUUGGCCGCAGGUACCCUCGACGUCGGCUUUGCGCUCGACGUUGGUACCUACCGCCCCUCAACGUUAGCCCGGAGGCCCCCUCGACGUACGCCACUUGCCACUGAAAAGAAAAGCGACCUUGUGCUCGCGAUGUUGGCAAAAAGAAAGAACGACCAUGGCCGCCACUAAAAACGACCUUUGCCGAUGUCUAAAACGACGUAAGUAUGUGCCGGCUCGGCGCAGGGCACUGCUGCCACUGGAUAAAAACGAUGUUGACAACAUCAAAAACGAUGCAGACACCUACUAAAAGCGAUGUAGGAAAAAAGUACCACUUGGACAUCCGAGCUGCCGCCGCUGGAUAAAAACGAUGUUGGAGACAUGAGAAAAGUGGCACCUGGACGUCCGAGCUGCCGCUAAUCGCCGCCCACCCCCACCGACCGUUCGUGCCCGCCGUGCCCCAACUGGCCGCUCGUGCCCCCGCUCGUGUCCGCCGGCCGCUCAGUCCGCGCUCGCGUCCGCCGAGCCCACACCGGCCGUUCGUGCCCGCUUCUCUCGUACCUUCCAGGCUAGGUUGUCGACAUAUAUGCGCUUAGCCUGCCGACGCGCGACUGGCCGGGUUUAAACCCGGCCACGCGGCCGCGGAUAGCUACGGAAUAAAAAUCGCAGAAGAAAAGGACAUAAAUUCCUAGAAUAUAUGAAAUAAUAAAUACAUAUAUGAAACAUUACGGUAUAUAUAUAUAUACUCAAUUUUCGUGGCCCUCAGG